GAUGAACGCUGGCGGCGUGCCUAAUACAUGCAAGUCGAGCGAACAGACGAGGAGCUUGCUCCUCUGACGUUAGCGGCGGACGGGUGAGUAACACGUGGAUAACCUACCUAUAAGACUGGGAUAACUUCGGGAAACCGGAGCUAAUACCGGAUAAUAUAUUGAACCGCAUGGUUCAAUAGUGAAAGACGGUUUUGCUGUCACUUAUAGAUGGAUCCGCGCCGCAUUAGCUAGUUGGUAAGGUAACGGCUUACCAAGGCGACGAUGCGUAGCCGACCUGAGAGGGGGGACGGGCCAAACGGGAAUGGAGAAAGGUCCAAAACACUAAGGGAGGGAAGAAGAGGGAAAGUUACGACAAGGGGGAAAGGCUGAACGAGGAAACGCGGCUGGGGGAAGGAAGGCCUCCGAACCUAAAAACCUGGUAAUAGGGAAGAAACAAUGGUUAAAGAAAUAAGCAACGUUUGAAGGUAACAAAUCAGAAAGCCACGGCUAACUACGUG
rnacentral:rRNA from 1 species